UACGUAGGGCGCAAGCGUUGUCCGGAAUUAUUGGGCGUAAAGAGCUCGUAGGCGGUUCGACAAGUCGGGUGUGAAAACUCCGGGCUCAACCCGGAGACGCCACCCGAUACUGUCGUGACUGGAGUCCGGUAGGGGAGUGGGGAAUUCCUGGUGUAGCGGUGAAAUGCGCAGAUAUCAGGAGGAACACCGGUGGCGAAGGCGCCACUCUGGGCCGGUACUGACGCUGAGGAGCGAAAGCGUGGGUAGCAAACAGG
rnacentral:rRNA from 1 species